GGUUGGUUUGUGUGUCUCUUGCAGCCUGGCAGAUAUCCAUGAAUUGACGUGUUUGUUGCAAGUGCUUGUUUUCUGCCGGAAAGAGUAAGGUAAUGGGAGACCUGCGGCUGCUACACUGGUAAGGUCAUUUAUGCCCACCCGUUUUUCAUCCUCGUGGUUUUCCUGGGGCUGAAAUCUCCGUCCUUCUGCUUUCGAGGGAGCUCUUUUUUUGUCAGUGUGUGCAAUCCGCUGUGUCUCCUGCAAUCCCAUUACUGUCCCAGAUAGAGUGAUGAAUUUGCUGGUGUUGGCCGCUGUCUCUGCAUUUUUGACCAGGGUUUCCCAGAU
ensembl:lncRNA